GUUCUUUCCAUUUUGGUUAGUAGAAAGAUAUUUUUAGCCAGAAUAAGAUUUACAAAGCGUGAAAUAAUAUCAGCGUAUAAGAAAUUCGCUAAAAUAAUUUUUAAAGUAUAUACUAGUGUUUAAAGGAUAUCUUUUAAAAGGAGGUGAUAUAAAAUGCAAAUUCUCAACUGAUAUCCAUUUGUGAAACUGUAGAGGAGUGAUGAUUCAAUAAGGAAGAUUUAAGAAGAUGCUCUCUGAAAAUAAUUUACAGGGACAUUCAUUGCAAAACAUCGAUGUGAUGGAAAAACGAAUGCAAGACAACAUUAAAUAUCAAAUAACUUGAAAAUGUAUGAAAAAAAAUGGAUUUUAAAAUUAUAAACUUACGUUAUGUGUAAAAAAAUUUAAUUAAAAAGAGUGUGUACUUAAUGUAAAGAUAUUUCCGACGCAAAAGAAAGAUGAAUAAACACAUGUAUUUACUUCAAA